UACAGAGGGGGCAAGCGUUGUUCGGAAUUAUUGGGCGUAAAGGGCGCGUAGGCGGUGCGGUAAGUCACCUGUGAAAUCUCUGGGGUCAACUCAGAGUCUGCAGGCGAAACUGCCGUGCUUGAGUGUGGGAGAGGUGAGUGGAAUUCCCGGUGUAGCGGUGAAAUGCGUAGAUAUCUGGAGGAACACCGGUGGCGAAGGCGGCAUCCUGGACCGAGAUUGACGCUGAUGCGCGAAAGCCAGGGGAGCAAACGGG
rnacentral:rRNA from 1 species